UAUUAUUAUUUCACUUUGUUGAAGACCGUGUGAUAGAAAAAUUUUAUAUAGAUUAUUUAAUUAAUUUAAAACAUUGUGGUACAUGCGAAGUAUACUGCGGGUCUGUUGAUAACCAGACAGCCUGCUACAAACUAAAAAAACGGAAAAGAGGAGGGGAGGAUACCCGGAUACACAAGUUAUUCAGGGUAUUCACUUUCAAAUUGCCAAGUCAACACGCGCGCCGAGAAUGUGUCGAAUAGCUGUAAUUUGUUUUUUUUCUGUACUUGAAUAGUAAUUACUUCAGCGAGUUGUUAAUUUGUGUGAUAUUAAUUUUACCGCUAACUAGUCCUUGCACAUCCGCUUAGUGAGACAAACGAAAAGAAACUAAAUAAUGCAGCAGAAACACAUUUGAAGUAAGGACUACGUGUGGUAAAGAGUCCUUUUGGGACGCGCAUGUUUCCCACAUAUCCUUUAGAACACAGAGCGCUUGAGUGGUAACUACGAAGAGAAAGACUGCAAGUGUGAGUGUGGAACGAGAUGAAGAUAUGAUACUCAAAUCUGGCUUUAUAAAGAGAUUGCGUGUUGUGUUUCUACAAAUUGUUCCUUUUGUGGCUUCAAAUAUGCUAGUUUUGUGGAGCUCCUGAAACAUUUAUACCUUUUAUCCUGGGAACCUAACAAAACAAAAAUGAUUAAGCUCUACCCAUUCCAACAGUUGGAGAAACGCAACAGAAAUGGAACAGCCAGAACUAUAUCGUUAAAGUAUGAUGAAAGAUGAGGAUCAUAUGGCAUCCGGAACUAAUCCAAAAGCUAUCUCAUUCUAAUUUCCAUUAUAUGAAAAUAAAUGUAUAUGCCUGUAUAUUAUUAAAAUAAACAAAUGAAAUAUUAAACAUGUGUAUAUAAGUAAUUAACCUUAAUAAAUAUAAAUUCAAAGUGAAUAA